GACUCCGUAGCUCAGCUGGUAGAGCAAUUGACUCUUAAUCAAUGGGUCGAGAGUUCGAGCCUCUCCGGGGUCA
rnacentral:tRNA from 4 species